rnacentral:rRNA from 1 species
UCUACGGGUGGCAGCAGUGGGGAAUAUUGGACAAUGGGCGAAAGCCUGAUCCAGCCAUGCCGCGUGUGUGAAGAAGGCCUUCGGGUUGUAAAGCACUUUCAGUGGGGAAGAAAGCCUUGGGGCUAAUACCCUCGAGGAAGGACAUCACCCACAGAAGAAGCACCGGCUAACUCCGUGCCAGCAGCCGCGGUAAUACGGAGGGUGCGAGCGUUAAUCGGAAUUACUGGGCGUAAAGCGCGCGUAGGCGGUCUGAUAAGCCGGUUGUGAAAGCCCCGGGCUCAACCUGGGAACGGCAUCCGGAACUGUCAGGCUAGAGUGCAGGAGAGGAAGGUAGAAUUCCCGGUGUAGCGGUGAAAUGCGUAGAGAUCGGGAGGAAUACCAGUGGCGAAGGCGGCCUUCUGGACUGACACUGACGCUGAGGUGCGAAAGCGUGGGUAGCAAACAGGAUUAGAUACCCUGGUAGUC